UUGGGCCUAAAGCAUCCGUAGUCGGCUGCUCAAGUUUCCGGUUAAAUCCACACGCUUAACGUAUGGGCUGCCGGAAAUACUGUUCAGCUAGGGAGUGGGAGAGGUAGACGGUACUCGAUAGGAAGGGGUAAAAUCCUUUGAUCUAUUGAUGACCACCUGUGGCGAAAACGGUCUACCAGAACACGUUCGACGGUGAGGGAUGAAAGCUGGGGGAGCAAACCGGAUUAGAUACCCGGGUAGUCCCAGCUGUAAACGAUGCAGACUCGGUGAUGCAUUGGCUUAUGGCCAGUGCAGUGCCGCAGGGAAGCCGUUAAGUCUGCCGCCUGGGAAGUACGUACGCAAGUAUGAAACUUAAAGGAAUUGGCGGGGGAGCACAAG
rnacentral:rRNA from 2 species